UACGUAGGGUGCGAGCGUUGUCCGGAAUUAUUGGGCGUAAAGGGCUCGUAGGCGGUUUGUCGCGUCGGGAGUGAAAACCUUGGGCUUAACUCAGGGCUUGCUUUCGAUACGGGCAGACUAGAGGUAUGCAGGGGAGAACGGAAUUCCUGGUGUAGCGGUGAAAUGCGCAGAUAUCAGGAGGAACACCGGUGGCGAAGGCGGUUCUCUGGGCAUGAUCUGACGCUGAGGGGCGAAAGCUAGGGGAGCGAAUGGG
rnacentral:rRNA from 1 species